UUUUUCGUUGUAGCAAUACGAUGGAAAGUCUAGCGGCGAACGGGUGCUUAACACGUGGGCAACCUGCCGUGAAGUGGGGGAUAGCUCGCCGAAAGGCGAAUUAAUACCGCAUGUGAUUAGAGAGGACAUCCUUUCGAAAUUAAAGUCGGGGCAACCUGACGCUUCUUGUGGGGCCCGCGGCCUAUCAGCUAGUUGGUGAGGUAACGGCUCACCAAGGCUUUGACGGGUAGCUGGUCUGAGAGGACGACCAGCCACACUGGGACUGAGACACGGCCCAGACACCUACGGGUGGCAGCAGUCGAGAAUUUUUGACAAUGGGGGAAACCCUGAUCGAGCGACGCCGCGUGGAGGAUGAAGGUCUUCGGAUUGUAAACUCCUGUCAUUGGGGAACAAGGUGCAUACGUUAACUGCGUGUGCAUUGAUAGUACCCGAAGAGGAAGAGACGGCUAACUCUGUGCCAGCAGCCGCGGUAAUACAGAGGUCUCAAGCGUUGUUCGGAUUCAUUGGGCGUAAAGGGUGCGUAGGCGGCGCGGUAAGUCGGGUGUGAAAUCUCGGAGCUUAACUCCGAAACUGCAUUCGAUACUGCCGUGCUUGAGGACUGGAGAGGAGACUGGAAUUUACGGUGUAGCGGUGAAAUGCGUAGAUAUCGUAAGGAAGACCAGUGGCGAAGGCGGGUCUCUGGACAGUUCCUGACGCUGAGGCACGAAGGCCAGGGGAGCAAACGGGAUUAGAUACCCCGGUAGUCCUGGCAGUAAACGGUGCACGUUUGGUGUGGGGAGGAUUCGACCCCUUCUGCGCCGG
rnacentral:rRNA from 1 species